rnacentral:RNase_P_RNA from 1 species
GGAGAUAGUCGAGCAACCGCUGCUAGCUACUUGUAGUUAGGGGAGGAAAGUCCGGGCUCCACAGGGCAGGGUGCCAGGUAACGCCUGGGUAGCGUGAGCUAACGGCCAGUGCAGCAGAGAGUAUACCGCCGAUGGUUCUCUUCGGAGUUCACAGGUAAGGGUGAAAGGGUGCGGUAAGAGCGCACCGCGCGACUGGUAACAGUUCGUGGCACGGUAAACCCCACUCGGAGCAAGACCAAAUAGGCUCCCUAAUGGCGUGGCCCACGUCGGGAGCGGGUAGGUCGCUUGAGCCUUAGAGUGAUUUAAGGCCUAGAUGAAUGGUUGCGCCUGUUUACAGGUUACAGAACCCGGCUUACAGACCAAUCUCUACUU